AAUUUUUCUAAAGCCAGCAACUAGAGGGAGAAACCAUGACUCCACAAAUAUCUCAUCCAUUCAAUAAUUGUAAAUAUAUUUACCCUCCAAUACAAACUUUCCAAGAAUUUUUUUCCAGUUUCCUAUAGAUAUUUUUGUGUGUGUUUUCAGUUGCGAGUACUGAAACUUGAUAAUUUUCACAUUCCCUAAGUUUCUCUCCUAGAAAAUUCUUUUAUUUUUCCAUUAAGUGAAAGCACAAAGGCAGAAUGAACCAGCAUCCUGCUUGUUUCCACCUUUCUGGUUAGAAGGGAGCAUGUAAGACUUAACUACAAUUAGAGCAACUUCUCCUCAUAUAAACUUAAAUAGCAAAGGAGAUAUGCACAUAUAAGCCUCCAUGGAUCAGCUGAAUUACAAAAAAAUAUAUUAAGAAACACAUUAUAAGUCUUCUUAGAAGUGAACAUAUCAUAAGCAAUAUAUAUCAUGUUUUUUCUAAUUCAUAGGUCCUUCAAUAAAAGUUGUUGAAUAAAUAGCAAAAGAAAAAUCCAUUAACAUACAAUAAAAAUUAAAUUAUAUCUUGUGUGAAUUAGCUAUGAAAACAGAGUUUUCUGUUUUUUUGUUAGGAAUUUAUCUUUUAUUAGUAUUUUAUAAUAGAAAAUUGUGCAUUACAUUGAGCAAGAUCCACAGUGAGAUACACAUGGCAUAGUCAAAAGGAACAAAUGAAGAGAGUUUUGGUGAAGAGUCUAUAUACAUGUUUGGUCAAGGGAAAGCCCAGUAAGUGAGGAAUGGUGGACUAUUGUGGAGAUACCCUUGAGACUAAUGGAGCAAAGGUGAUGGACACAUAUUGAGCAAACAUACUGAGUUUAAGUUGCUCACUUAGUAGUUCCCAUUGUGGCUCAGCAGUAACAAACCUGCCUAGUAGCUGUGAGGAUGUGGGUUCAAUCCCUGGCCUCACUCAGUAGGUUAAGUAUUCGGCAUUGCCCUGAGCUGUGGCAUAGGUCCAGAUGUGAUUCGGAUCUGGCAUGGCUGUGGCUGUGGCUGUGGCUGGCGGCUGAAGCUCCAAUUCAACCCCUAGCCUGGGAACAUCCAUGCGUCAUGGGUGUGGCCCUAAAAAACUGAAAUAUAAAUAAAUAAAAUAAGCUGCCUGUUUAUAUGGAAUAUUAUUCAGCCUUAAAAAAUAAAAAAUCUUGCCAUUUGUUAGAUUUACCUGGAGGACAUUAUGUUUAUUGAAAUAAACCAAACACAGAAAGACAGAUACUACAUGAUCUCACUUAUAUGUGGAAGGUAAAAUGAUCACACUCACAGAAACAGUAGAUUUGUAUUUGCCAGGAACUAGGAUAAGGGGAAAAUAUUGGUCAAAAUUUACAAAUUUUCAGUGAUGCAGGAUGAGUAGGUUCUGGACAUCUAACAUAUAACAUGGUGACUAGUUAAUAAUACUGUUAUUCUAUAUUUGAAAUUUGCUAAGAGGAUAGAGCUAAAGUGUUCUCACCCCCAAAACAAAACAAAACAUGGUAACUAUGCGAGGUGAUGGGUCUGUAAGUAUCUUGAUUAUAACAAUUAUUUGAAAAUGUAUACAUUUAUAAAAACAUCAAUAUGGACAUCUUAAAUAUAUAUAAUUUUUAUUUGUCAAUGAUACCCAAUAAAGCUGGAAAAAGAAAAAAGAUGUCUAUUGAUUCAUACACAUGGAGAUGAGGAGAAAUUAGUCUUGAACUUACUCAAGAGAAAUCUGUUUCAUUCACUCCCAAACUCUUGAGUAAUUUAGCGAAAAAGAUUUUUUUGGACUAGUGUGAUGUGUAGCCUUAUCUGUAAUUUUGUAUCAGGGCUAAUUAUUUUGAUUUUCAGGCUUGGUAAUUGUACUCCUUUGGUAUAACAGCUCAACAAUGUGAAAUACUCAUGGUCUCUGAGCUAGUAAAGUGAAAGCUAAUUCUUACUUUUGUCCCCCCCUUCCACAAGAACUAUUAUUCUACAUUUGAAAAUGCAAUGUAAAUUUUAUAAGGUUCUUAGCAGUGAAUUUUGUCAUUUUUUAUUCCAGAGAGGCUGAUAAAGGGAGGACAUGGGAGGGAGUAAGAGCCACUGCAGAGUUUGACACUGCUGUUUGUCACUACCUCAACAUAUCAUGGCUAUGAGGUUAUGAAAGAGACCUGCUGGAAGAAUAAGAAUUGUACUGGAACAUUUCAGAAUUAUAUUAAAGUGAGAUUUAUAUUGAUACUUAAGAUGAAAAUUAAUGCUUAUUCUGUUAGCUGCUGUGAUGUGAGGAAAUGUACUGUGUUGAGGCACAUUAUCCUCCCAGCAAGAGCAAGUUAUAUCAGGUAUAAAAAGGAAUAGAAGGACUGAAGGAGGUAGAGAAAGUAAAAGAUCUAUGGUAUUUUAAGGAAAUGUAGGUAAAAGAGAAAGAAAAAAAAAUGGAGAAAGGCAGGGAGACCAUAAUAUAAAUUUGGGAGGUAGGAACAUUAAACCAAAAGAAAAACUAUAAUUCUAUAUUUAAAAAAGCAUAGAAAAAUGAAAUAUAAUAAGGUAAAAUAGAAACCAACAUGAAAAUAUUCUCAUUAAUGCCUUCAUUUUUAUUUUUUAUUAUUCAAAAUAUACUUUUAACUUACAGCAUGCAUUCUUUAACUCUGAAAUUAUGCUUACUCGGUUUAAACUCCACUUCUCAAAGUUUAGUAAUUUAAUUAUAUACCUUUCAGUUCAAAUGUUAGCUUAAUGAAAUCUUUACUGAGUUUGCGCACAUUGCUUCAGACCAUGCAGCAUAGUCGAUAAACGCUUGGGCUUUGCCUGGUUUCAAAGUAAAACACUGAGUAAAAUAGUCACUCUCUCUGUGCCUCAGUUUCCUCAAAUAUAAAAUGUGGUAGGCUACAGUACUUAUCAUAUACUGUGGUCAUUUGAUUUACUCAUAAACUAAUCCAUAAAAACACUAAAGUUAAUAAUUGCUAAAUACUAUGUGGUUAAUAAUACUACCAUUUUAUUAUUAUUACCUGUAAUGUAUUAGUUUGUACCUUUGCACAUUUCUAAAACAUUUACUAGAUUACACAUUUUUAAACUGUUUAUUUUUAAUUAAAACAGACAUGACAGUUGCCUAAAAUCACACAAAAUGUUUUCUUAUCCCUUUAUUUUGUUUUCUGUAUAUCAGCAUUUUAUGCAGCCAUAGUACAAUUGUCAAAAUCAGAAAAUUAAUGUCGGUACAAUACAAUUAACUAUUUUACAGGCCUAAUGAAAUUUCAGCAGAUUUUCUACUAAUGUCCUUUUUCUGUUUCAGGAUUCUUUUGUGGACUCAUAUUACUUACAGUUGUUUUUUUCUCUUUAGUAUCUUCUAAGCCUAUAAGAUUUUCAUGGCCUUUCUCUGUCUUUCAUCAUGUUGACACUUGAAGAGCAAUGAUCAAUCGUUUUGUCGAAUGUCUCUGAAUUUGAAUUUGUCUGAUGAUUUCUCAUCAUAGCAAUGAUGUUAUGCAUUUUUUUAAGGAAUCCAUAUAAAUAACGCUGUAUCUUUGAAUCAUAUCAAGUAGUUCAGAACGUUAACAUCUUUCAUUACGGAUGUUGUUAAACUCAAUCACUUGUUCAAGAUGGUUUCUUCUAGGUUUCUCCAUGUUAAAAUUACUAUCUUUACCCUUGACUUGAUCAGUAUAUUGGGGAGAUACUUUGAUACUAUGAAAUCUUCAUUCUCUUUAUAUUUUGCCUAAUAAUUUUAGCAUUUAUCAGUGAAUCUUGUUUUUAAGAUUUAUUAUUGGGGUUUUUGCCUAAUGGUGAUUUUCUAGUUUCCUCUUGCCUUCUUUAUCUGUUUGAAUUGUACUCUAAGAAAGAUCAGUUUGUUAUCCCCCAUAUAUUUAUUUAAUAGACAUUUUGACAAUAUGAUUUUAUGAAUAUUUAUUUUCUUCGAGAAGUUAAAAUCUAAUCCUUCCAUUUAUUUUGCUCUUCUAAUUCAUUUUGCUGCAUUUACCACUAGGAGAUUCUUCAGAGAUUGGUUUCUAUGAUCUUUCAGCAAGCCCCUAACUUUCUUUGAACACUUUUUAUUUUCUGGGAACAUAAAAUGUUCUGGUUAUUAUUGUAUUUCCUCUGUCCUGAAGUCAUUCACUUCUCUAGGGAGUAAUGAUUCCUUUUACUGGACAAUGGUAUUUAGAGGGCAAAAUGGUACUUAUUAUGCUAUACACAAACACACACACACACACACACAGAUUUGUAUAUUAAAAUUCUGGGUUUACAGUGCUAUUUUAUAGCAACUAUCUCAAUAUCAAGUUGAAUCUGAGUAAAUUUUAAACACAUAUCCAUGUAAAUAGCUACUGGAUACCCAGCCCAUGUAGCAGUUAUGGGGAACUCUAGGACAACUACAAGAUUACAUAAAAACAUAUGUGAUAAAAUAAUCAGAGGUAUAGUAGGGGAGCAAACUUAAUAAUGGAAUUGUAAACAUGAGGAAAAGGAGACAAGUGAAGAAGAAAUCAAAAGGAUCAAAAAUGAGCUAACCAAACUGAAUAGUUCAGGGUGGUAAGAGUAGGUAAGAGUAGGACUCAAAUUCAGUUACUUAAUGUCAGAGACACUGCUCUGCAAGUAAAAAGAAAAAGAGAAUUGAAGAAAUAAGGAUUAAAAGAAAAACUCCAGAUAAAUUAAUUUCUGAUAUCAAAUUUCAGUGAGGAAAAAGAAAAUUGAAACUAUGAUGACUUUCUCAAAAUAACAAUAGGAUGAGCAGAAUAUAGAAAUGUCAAAUACUAUUUUUGAUUAAUCGUAAUAUUGAGAUAUGAAAUAGAUAUGAAACUUAUUAAAAGUUAGAUGUAAAGAAAUACCUGAUAAUUAUCCUUUAAAUUGGAUAAAAUAAACAUGUAGCAAUUUUGGGCUGAUGGUUCAGUUUAGAACAUAAUAAAUUUAUAUAAACUUUACCAUGCCAAUUGUGCCCAGAAGCAAAUGAAGUUAAGAUAAGGUAGUAAAUCAUCGUAAGUGGUCAAUUACAGGCCAUCUUCAAACAAAAGUGAAUUGUAGGUGAUUCAGGGAAGGAAGAACAAAGAAGAUUUUCAGUGCCCAUUUGAAUCCAAUUCUGUGAGUCAGCAUUGUAGCUUAACCCAUUAUUUAUUUAUUUAUUUUCUUUUGUCUUUUUAGGGCUGCACCCCUGGCACAUGGAAGUUCCCAGGCUAUGGGUUGAAUCAGAGCAGCAGCUGUCGGCUUAUGCCAUAGCCACAGCAACACCAGAUUGAAGCCACAUAUGCCAACUACAUUGCAGCUCACAGCAAUGCUGUAUCUUUAACCCACUGAGUGGGGCCAGGGAUUGCACACAUCCUCAUGGGUACUAUUGGGUUCAUUUCUCUGAGCCACAGUGGGAACUCCUAACCCAUUAUUUGAUAGAAAAAUAUGUCCCUCUGUUGGUAGCCCUUCUGGGAAAUUCUUAGAUAGGAUUAACUCCUAAUAAUUAGGACUAGCAUAGUAGAAACCAUGUGCUUUUUUGAAUAUAAUGUGUCCAAAAGACAAGUCCCAUGACAUCUGCCCACACAGGAUGUGGAUGGCAGAAUAAUGGCCCCUCAUAGAUGAACAAGUUUUAUUUUUUAUUUUAUUUUUUUUUUUUUAAGGGCUGUACCCAGGGCUUAUGGAGGUUCACAGGCUAGAUGGAAUCAGAGCUACAGCUGCUGGCCUACCCCACAGCCACGGCAAUGCCAGAUCCAAGCUUCAUCUGUGACCUACACCACAGCUCAUAGCAACGCCAGAUCAUUAACCCACUGAGGGAAGCCAGGGAUUGAACACAAAACCUCAUGUUUCCUAGUUGGAUUCAUUUCCGCUGUGCCACAAUGGGUACUCCUGAACAACUUUUCUAAUCUCAGGCAAGUGUGAACAUGUUACUGAACAUUGUGAAAAGGAAUUUGAAUAUGUAAUUAAGGUUAUAAAUCUUGAUAAGAUUAUCUAGGUAGGACUAAUCUGUUCACACAUGUCCUUAAAAUCUGAGGAGAUGAGAAAUGAAAAGCAUUUGACCUGACACUACUGGUUGGGACAAAGGAUGAAAGUGGGGCACAAACCGAGGGGGUGAGGUCGCUUUCAAAAGCUAGUAUCGUGGAGUUCCGGCUAUGACUCAGUGGGUUUGGUGGUGUCUUGGGAGUGCUGGGACAUGGGUUCAGUCCCUGGCCCAGCACAGUGGAUUAAGGAUCCCAGCUGUGGCUUGUGUCGCAACCUUGGCUUGAGUCUGAUCCCUGGCCUGGGAGCUCCAUGUGC
rnacentral:lncRNA from 1 species